AAAAUAUAGAGCUUUUAAAAUUUAUUUUAAAAUUUUUUUUCAAAUUAUAAUUCGAAGGUAGAACACACGAAACCAACUGUGUUUUAAAGAAAAUCAUAAAUAACAAGGCAGGUGAACAGACAAACAAUAAGGGAGACAAGAAACAACAAGGCAGGUGUACAGACAAGCAAUAAGGGAGACAAGAAACAACAAGGCAGGUGUACAGACAAACAAUAAGGGAGACAAGAAACAACAAGGCAGAUGUACAGACAAACAAUAAGGGAGAUAAGAAAUAACAAGGCAGAUGUACAGACAAACAAUAAGGGAGAUAAGAAAUAACAAGGCAGGUGUACAGACAAACAAUUAGGGAGAUAAGAAACAACAAGACAGAUGUACAGACAAACAAUAAGGGAGAUACGAAAUAACAAGGCAGUUGUACAGACAAUCAAGAAGGGAGUUGUGAAAUUACAAGGUACGUGUACGAAUAAAUAAUAAGAGAGAUAAGUUACAACAAGGCAGGUGUACAGACAAUCAAGACGGGAGAUAAGAAACAAAUACGACAGGUAUACAGACAACCAAGAAGGGAGUUGUGAAAUUACAAGGUACGUGUACGAAUAAACAAUAAGUGAGAUAAGUUACAACAAGGCAGGUGUACAGACAAUCAAGAAGGGAGAUAAGAAACAACGAGACAUGUAUACAGACAAUUAAGAAGGGAGUUAUGAAAUUACAAGGUAUGUGUACGAAUAAAUAAUAAGAGAGAUAAGUUACAACAAGGCAGGUGUACAGACAAUCAAGAAGGGAGAUAAGAAAUAACAAGACAGGUAUAGACAACCAAGAAGGGAGUAAUGAAAUUACAAAUAAGAAAAAAAAAACAAGGCAGGUGUACAGACGACCAAGAAGGGAGACAAGAAACAACAAGGCAGGUGCACAAACAAUCAAGUCGGGAGGUAGUUAAGAAAAUAAAAAUAUUGUGUACGAACAAACAAUAAGAAAGAUAAGUUAAAACAAGACAGGUAUACAGUCAAACAAGACGGGAAAAUAAGAAACAACAAGGCAGUUGUAAAAACAACGAAGUAGGGAGUUAUGAAAUUACAAGGUAUGUGUAUAUACAAAUAAUAAGAGAGAUAAGAGACAAGACAGGUGCACAAACAAGCAAUAAAGGUAAUAAGAAACAACAAGACAGGUGUACAGACAUUCAAUAAGGGAGAUAAGAAAUUACAAGGCAGGUGUACAGACAAACAAUAAAGGAUACAAUAAAUUACAAGGCAGGUGUACAGACAAACAAUAAAGGAUAAAGAACAACAAGACGAGUGUUCAGACAAACAAGAAAGAGGAUAAGAAACAACAAGGCGAGUUUUCAGACAAACCAUUAUUAAAAGAAGAUAAGAAACAACAAGGCAGGUGUACAGACAAACAAUAAGGGAAAUAAGAAACAACAAGGCAGAUGUACAGGCAAACAAUAAGGGAGAUAAGAAACAACAAGGCAGAUGUACAGACAAACAAUAAGGGAGACAAGAAACAACAAGGCAGGUGUACAGACAAACAAUAAGGGAGAUAAGAAACAACAAGGCAGGUGUACAGACAAACAAUAAGGGAGAUACGAAACAACAAGGCAGGUGUACAGACAAACAAUAAGGGAGAUAAGAAACAACAAGGCAGGUGUACAGACAAACAAUAAGGGCGAUACGAAACAACAAGGCAGAUGUACAGACAAAUAAUAAGGGAGAUAAGAAACAACAAGGCAGGUGUACAGACAAACAAUAAGGGAGACAAGAAACAACAAGGCAGGUGUACAGACAAACAAUAAGGGAGAUAAGAAACAACAAGGCAGAUGUACAGACAAACAAUAAGGGAGAUAAGAAACAACAAGGCAGGUGUACAGACAAACAAUAAGGGAGAUAAGAAACAACAAGGCAGGUAUACAGACAAACAAUAAGGGAGAUAAGAAACAACAAGGCAUGUGUACAGACAAACAAUAAGGGAGACAAGAAACAACAAGGCAGAUGUACAGACAAACAAUAAGGGAGAUAGGAAAUAACAAGGCAGGUGUACAGACAAACAAUAAGGGAGAUAAGAAACAACAAGGCAGGUGUACAGACAAACAAUAAGGGAGAUAAGAAACAACAAGGCAGAUGUACAGACAAACAAUAAGGGAGAUAAGAAACAACAAGGCAGGUGUUCAGACAAUGAAAAAAGUGGAUAAGAAACAACAAGGCGAAUUGUCAGACAAAUGAUUAAGAAAAUAAGAAACAACAAGGCGGGUUUUCAGGCAAACAAUAAAGGAGAUCAGAAACAACAAGGCGGGUUUUCAGACAAACAAUAAAGGAGAACAGAAACAACAAGGCAGGUGUAAGGACAUACAAGUAGGGGAAUAAACAAACAACUAGGCAAAUAUACGGACAAACAAUAAGGGAGAUAAGAAAUAAAAAGGUAUGUGUACUUACAAACCAGAAGGGGAAUACGAAACACUAUGCAAGGGUUCGACCAAGAAGAAGGGAGAUAAGAUACAACAAGUUUACGGACAAACAAGAAGCUUGGUAAAUGUACGGACAAACAAGGACUGGAGAUAAGAGACAACAGAAAGAGCAAAGGACAAACAACGAAGGAGAAAGAAAAAAACAAAAGCAGUUGUACAGACAAAAAUAAAGAGAGAUAAGAAACCACUUGCCAUAUUUACGUACAAACAAGAAGGAAAAGAAACAACAAGGUAUGGGUACGGACACACAUAAAGGGAGAAAAGAAACAAACA